UCCAGGCUCCACCAACAGUCAGUCUGGCAGUGGUCCUCGCGGUAGAGAGUGUGAUAAGAUGCGAUCAGUCACAGCCUUCUCCCCCGGCGCCCUCCAGCCCGGCAGGUGAGCUGGGGGCCUGGGGACAGGCUGGUGCAGUGUCCCGUAGCACCCCAGAGCCCUUGAAGGAGCAGCGGACCUCUCCCCUAUCCCCACCUCUGCGACCUCAUGACAAUGGCGGACUCCAUGGGUUGUGGUCCUUGGCAGCUGGAACAUACUGACACUGCCAUUAAGGAACUUCAGUUUGUCAGCCUGAAAUUCUCAUCCAAGAAGAUUUUUAGGAACAGAAUCCUCCAGAUUGGGCACUGCAAGGAAAUGACUGCAUCACGCCUCUGAAUUUUCCUUUCCUGAAGGUUUUUCCCCCACAACCCUGUUCUAGCUGACUGAAACUACAGAAAGACUAGGUGCAGCUCCCAUGAAAUGGGUCUUCACAUUAGUGGAGCCUCCAGAAGGGGAAAAGAUUUCCUCUAACUUUGACCUCAUAGGCAAAUUAGUUCCUGUCACAGUGUACUACCAAGAAAUAGGAACUCUGUCUCCCUCCUUUUUUGAAAGCAAAAUAUUGCCAAUAAUUUUGCCAAUUCAAUUAAGUGAAAAUAUUCUCUGUUCCUCAGAAUCUGGCCCUGCUAACCAGCCCACAUUCUCUCUUUUAUCCAUCUUCCUUACUGAAUACAUAUGGUGGUUUAUAAUUGAAAAUGCGUGAACAUGCAGAAACCCAGGGAAGCUGGCAACUUCUUUUAAUGUGUAAAUUGUGUUCAAAAAGUAAGUACACCUUGGCAUUCUCAAAAGUCAUGCUCCCUUGCCAUCAGCUGCAGGAACAGAACUAAAUUAUAAAUUAAAGCCAGUUGCCAAGUAUAUAUAUAUACACACACAAAGGCAUUCAUUCCACAAGUGCAUCCUAAUUUGGGACCUUAUUAUGGGGGCCAGUGACAAAUAGUUCUGCAAACUUUCAAGAAAGCAAGAGAGCAAGAAAAGUAGAAUACAUUUGAAGAGGAAAAUUAAAUGGUAUUUCAUUACAAAUGGCCAUCUGAAGAAAUUCAGAUCGGGGACAUCGGUCUUCAAAGAGUUCAAAGUUGGCAAUUAAAAAAAAAAUAUCUAUAUCCACUUAAAAGAACCAAAUAUUUAAAAAAAAAUACAGCUUAAAAAAAUCAUCUCCUUUCUUAGCACUGACAAACUCAUUUCUUGGCCAGCUCUGUGUAAGAAGGCUGCGACAUCUUGCAUUUUGCAUGAGGGACACAUUUUCAAAAAACUGUAAACUGUAUCAACUAGUUUUUAUUAUCUAAUUUUAUAUCACUUUGUCAACAAAGCUCUGGUUUUUCCAGUGGUCAUGGACAGAUGUGAGGGUUGUGCCAUAAAGAA